rnacentral:rRNA from 1 species
UACGGAGGAUGCGAGCGUUAUCCGGAUUUAUUGGGUUUAAAGGGUGCGUAGGCGGUCUGUUAAGUCAGCAGUAAAAUUGCGGGGCUCAACCCCGUCGAGCCGUUGAAACUGGCAGACUUGAGUUGGCGAGAAGUACGCGGAAUGCGCGGUGUAGCGGUGAAAUGCAUAGAUAUCGCGCAGAACUCCGAUUGCGAAGGCAGCGUACCGGCGCCACACUGACGCUGAGGCACGAAAGCGUGGGGAUCGAACAGG